rnacentral:rRNA from 1 species
GUCGAGAAUUUUUCACAAUGGGCGAAAGCCUGAUGGAGCGACGCCGCGUGGGGGAUGAAGGGCUUCGGCUCGUAAACCCCUGUCAUUUGCGAACAAGGGCAACGGCCUAACACGCUGUUGUUUGAUAGUAGCAGAAGAGGAAGGGACGGCUAACUCUGUGCCAGCAGCCGCGGUAAUACAGAGGUCCCAAGCGUUGUUCGGAUUCACUGGGCGUAAAGGGUGCGUAGGUGGCGGACUAAGUCGGGUGUGAAAUCUCCGGGCUCAACCCGGAGCGUGCGCCCGAUACUGGUUUGCUAGAGGAUGGGAGGGGAGACUGGAAUUCUCGGUGUAGCAGUGAAAUGCGUAGAUAUCGAGAGGAACACCCGUGGCGAAGGCGAGUCUCUGGACCAUUCCUGACACUGAGGCACGAAAGCCGGGGGAGCAAACAGGAUUAGAUACCCCGGUAGUCC